UACGUAGGGGGCAAGCGUUGUCCGGAAUCAUUGGGCGUAAAGCGCGUGUAGGCGGCCAGAUAAGUCCGCUGUGAAAUCUCGAGGCUCAACUUCGAGCUGUCGGUGGAAACUGUCUGGCUAGAGUCCGGAAGAGGAGAAUGGAAUUCCUGGUGUAGCGGUGAAAUGCGCAGAUAUCAGGAAGAACACCCGUGGCGAAGGCGGAUCUCUGGGCCGAUACUGACGCUGAGGAGCGAAAGCGUGGGGAGCGAACAGG
rnacentral:rRNA from 1 species